rnacentral:lncRNA from 1 species
UCGUCUUUGUCGGAAAUGAUGUCAGAUGGUUUUUUGAGGUCAGAUAGUGCAUUUUAUAACCAUUUGCGCUCCAUGCCUCUUCAUUGUAACGAUCUCUAUUCUUUAGGGCCUUUCGUUGCUGCUCAACAGGUUGUUUUACCUCCUCUUAGUGAGGGAGAUUCAUCGCUCCGAUAAAUUCUGUUAUCUAAAUUUAUGAGGGUGCACGUGAUGUAUUCAAUGUAAUACAAAUUUAGUUUUGUAAAUUAAAAACUCAUCCACCUUUAUAAAUCAGGGACCCUCCUCCCCAUCAUCCCCCUUUGUGUCUGGCAUUUCAAGGAAAAAACGAUGAAGGUUUUUGGUGGCAUUUUUUAGGUGGGAGAGGUUGUCAUGGUGGCAAGUUUUUUUUUGGCUAGUUUCCGGUUGAAUAAUGCAGCGAGUGGACUGAUAUCUAAAUCUAUGAAGAUGAGUAUUUAAUUUACAAAACUAAAUUUUAAUUCUAAAAGAUUGAUAUUAAAUCACCAGAGAGUUCAAAAAUUGCCUUCAUCUCUGAGCUAUUUCCUCCGUUCUUGGAGCACCUGUAUCACACAAG